GAAAGGGUGCAAGAGGGGGUGAUCGAAGCAAAAGUCAAAAAGAAAAAGAGGAGGGCUGGAGACAGAACCGUAUAGGCAAGAAAGGACUUGCUGUUAUUUAACUUACUGCAGAGGUUUAAAACAUAGACUUUGUAUUUCAUUACUAAUAUAUGAUAAAAUAUAUGACAAUUUAAUGUCUCAAAACAAGCUGAAAAUGGGUCAUUUUUUAACAAUUCUCUUAACAAAACUGGAAAUUUUAAAAUGUUACACAAGUCACAAGUCUUGGGGCAUAAUAUCGAGUCCCAUCUCCAGACAGUGCAUGGCACUGGACAAAGGCAGGGCCAGGCUGUGGGGCAUCUGAAGUGGAUAUGGUGAAACUCUGAUAACUCGGAUCGCUGCUGCCAAUCUGCAUUCCACCCUCAGGCUUGAAGGCAUCUAGAGGCAAAGAAAUAAAUUCCAAAUCUCUACAAUCACAUACUUUUUUAGAUGAGAACUGACAGAAUGAGACUUGAGCGGAGAAGACCAGCCUCACCCUCUGCACAACAACAGCCCCGUCUGCUGAGAGCGCCAGCCAUGUCCCGCCGUUGCUGCCUGCUCACCACGCUCCACUCCGGGACGACCCCUCACUGCCACCUACACGCCACCUUCCUUCACUUCCCACUUCCUUCACCCCCGACUUUCACUUCAAAA